UGGAGGAAAGUAGGGGAUCGCAAGACCUUGCGUUAUUCGAGCGGCCGACGUCUGAUUAGCUAGUUGGUGGGGUAAAGGCCUACCAAGGCGACGAUCAGUAGCGGGUCUGAGAGGAUGAUCCGCCACACUGGGACUGAGACACGGCCCAGACUCCUACGGGAGGCAGCAGUGGGGAAUUUUGGACAAUGGGGGAAACCCUGAUCCAGCCAUACCGCGUGAGUGAAGAAGGCCUUCGGGUUGUAAAGCUCUUUCAGCUGGAACGAAACGGUACGUUCUAACAUAGCGUGCUAAUGACGGUACCAGCAGAAGAAGCACCGGCUAACUACGUGCCAGCAGCCGCGGUAAUACGUAGGGUGCGAGCGUUAAUCGGAAUUACUGGGCGUAAAGCGUGCGCAGGCGGAUUGUUAAGCAAGAUGUGAAAUCCCCGGGCUUAACCUGGGAAUUGCGUUUGAAACUACAAGGCUAG
rnacentral:rRNA from 1 species